rnacentral:rRNA from 1 species
UGUGAACUCGAAGAGUAGGGCGGGACACGUGGUAUCCUGUCUGAAUAUGGGGGGACCAUCCUCCAAGGCUAAAUACUCCUGACUGACCGAUAGUGAACCAGUACCGUGAGGGAAAGGCGAAAAGAACCCCGGCGAGGGGAGUGAAAAAGAACCUGAAACCGUGUACGUACAAGCAGUGGGAGCACCUUCGGGUGUGACUGCGUACCUUUUGUAUAAUGGGUCAGCGACUUAUAUUCUGUAGCAAGGUUAACCGUAUAGGGGAGCCGCAGGGAAACCGAGUCUUAACUGGGCGUUAAGUUGCAGGGUAUAGACCCGAAACCCGGUGAUCUAGCCAUGGGCAGGUUGAAGGUUGGGUAACACUAACUGGAGGACCGAACCGACUAAUGUUGAAAAAUUAGCGGAUGACUUGUGGCUGGGGGUGAAAGGCCAAUCAAACCGGGAGAUAGCUGGUUCUCCCCGAAAGCUAUUUAGGUAGCGCCUCGUGAACUCAUCUUCGGGGGUAGAGCACUGUUUCGGCUAGGGGGUCAUCCCGACUUACCAACCCGAUGCAAACUACGAAUACCGAAGAAUGUUAUCACGGGAGACACACGGCGGGUGCUAACGUCCGUCGUGAAGAGGGAAACAACCCAGACCGCCAGCUAAGGUCCCAAAGUCAUGGUUAAGUGGGAAACGAUGUGGGAAGGCACAGACAGCCAGGAUGUUGGCUUAGAAGCAGCCAUCAUUUAAAGAAAGCGUAAUAGCUCACUGGUCGAGUCGGCCUGCGCGGAAGAUGUAACGGGGCUAAACCAUGCACCGAAGCUGCGGCAGCGACACUAUGUGUUGUUGGGUAGGGGAGCGUUCUGUAAGCCUGCGAAGGUGUGCUGUGAGGCAUGCUGGAGGUAUCAGAAGUGCGAAUGCUGACAUAAGUAACGAUAAAGCGGGUGAAAAGCCCGCUCGCCGGAAGACCAAGGGUUCCUGUCCAACGUUAAUCGGGGCAGGGUGAGUCGACCCCUAAGGCGAGGCCGAAAGGCGUAGUCGAUGGGAAACAGGUUAAUAUUCCUGUACUUGGUGUUACUGCGAAGGGGGGACGGAGAAGGCUAUGUUAGCCGGGCGACGGUUGUCCCGGUUUAAGCAUGUAGGCUGGUUAUCCAGGCAAAUCCGGAUAAUCAAGGCUGAGGUGUGAUGACGAGGCACUACGGUGCUGAAGUAACAAAUGCCCUGCUUCCAGGAAAAGCCUCUAAGCAUCAGGUAACAUCAAAUCGUACCCCAAACCGACACAGGUGGUCAGGUAGAGAAUACCAAGGCGCUUGAGAGAACUCGGGUGAAGGAACUAGGCAAAAUGGUGCCGUAACUUCGGGAGAAGGCACGCUGGUGUGUAGGUGAAGCCCCUGCGGGUGGAGCUGAGACCAGUCGAAGAUACCAGCUGGCUGCAACUGUUUAUUAAAAACACAGCACUGUGCAAACACGAAAGUGGACGUAUACGGUGUGACGCCUGCCCGGUGCCGGAAGGUUAAUUGAUGGGGUUAUCCGUAAGGAGAAGCUCUUGAUCGAAGCCCCGGUAAACGGCGGCCGUAACUAUAACGGUCCUAAGGUAGCGAAAUUCCUUGUCGGGUAAGUUCCGACCUGCACGAAUGGCGUAAUGAUGGCCAGGCUGUCUCCACCCGAGACUCAGUGAAAUUGAACUCGCUGUGAAGAUGCAGUGUACCCGCGGCAAGACGGAAAGACCCCGUGAACCUUUACUAUAGCUUGACACUGAACAUUGAGCCUUGAUGUGUAGGAUAGGUGGGAGGCUUUGAAGCGUGGACGCCAGUCUGCGUGGAGCCAACCUUGAAAUACCACCCUUUAAUGUUUGAUGUUCUAACGUUGGCCCCUUACCGGGGUUGCGGACAGUGUCUGGUGGGUAGUUUGACUGGGGCGGUCUCCUCCCAAAGCGUAACGGAGGAGCACGAAGGUUAGCUAAUCCUGGUCGGACAUCAGGAGGUUAGUGCAAUGGCAUAAGCUAGCUUGACUGCGAGCGUGACGGCGCGAGCAGGUGCGAAAGCAGGUCAUAGUGAUCCGGUGGUUCUGAAUGGAAGGGCCAUCGCUCAACGGAUAAAAGGUACUCCGGGGAUAACAGGCUGAUACCGCCCAAGAGUUCAUAUCGACGGCGGUGUUUGGCACCUCGAUGUCGGCUCAUCACAUCCUGGGGCUGAAGUAGGUCCCAAGGGUAUGGCUGUUCGCCAUUUAAAGUGGUACGCGAGCUGGGUUUAGAACGUCGUGAGACAGUUCGGUCCCUAUCUGCCGUGGGCGCUGGAGAAUUGAGGGGGGCUGCUCCUAGUACGAGAGGACCGGAGUGGACGCAUCACUGGUGUUCGGGUUGUCAUGCCAAUGGCACUGCCCGGUAGCUAAAUGCGGAAGAGAUAAGUGCUGAAAGCAUCUAAGCACGAAACUUGCCCCGAGAUGAGUUCUCCCUGAGACUUUAAGUCUCCUGAAGGAACGUU